UACGGGGGGGGCAAGCGUUGUUCGGAAUUACUGGGCGUAAAGGGCCAGUAGGCGGCCAACUAAGUCGGAUGUGAAAUCCCCAGGCUUAACCUGGGAACUGCAUCCGAUACUGGAUGGCUUGAAUUCGGGAGAGGGAUGCAGAAUUCCAGGUGUAGCGGUGAAAUGCGUAGAUAUCUGGAGGAAUACCGGUGGCGAAGGCGGCAUCCUGGACCGACAUUGACGCUGAACGGCGAAAGCUAGGGGGGCAAACGGG
rnacentral:rRNA from 1 species